CAUCGGGCGGUGGCGGGUGUAUCGGACACCAGUGCGCAUGCGCAGCGGUAAAUCGACAUCGGGCUACCAGGAUCGAUUCGUGAGCUUCUGUGCUCUGACUACUGCAAGGAUCUCCCUCGCCUAGACUAGACCACCAACAUGGGAAACUUCUUCCUGCCAGCCAGCGUUCUUCUGCUGCUCCAGUUCGCGGCGUGCGACGACCUCGGGUCAGCGCACCUGCCGGUCGAGCACCGCGGCGGCGGUGGGCCGGUGCUGGACGGACCGGGGUUCGGCGGUCCCAGCUACGGCGGGCCGCCGCCGCCGUCGUUCGGAGGGGCGCCGCCGCC
rnacentral:lncRNA from 1 species